AGCUCAGCUGGUAGAGCGGCGCCCUUACAAGGCGUAGGUCGGCGGUUCGAACCCGUCA
rnacentral:tRNA from 1 species